rnacentral:rRNA from 1 species
AACGAGCGCAACCCUUGUCUUUAGUUGCCAUCAUUAAGUUGGGCACUCUAGAGAGACUGCCAGGGAUAACCUGGAGGAAGGUGGGGAUGACGUAAAAUCAUCAUGCCCCUUAUGCUUAGGGCUACACGCGUGCUACAAUGGGUAGUACAGAGGGUUGCCAAGCCGUAAGGCGGAGCUAAUCCCUUAAAGCUACUCUCAGUUCGGAUUGUAGGCUGAAACUC